GGGCCUGCAUCCGGGCGGCGCCGGGCUGCGGUGAGGCGGAGAGCGGCGUGCGGUGAGCGCGGGCAGAUGAGGAAGACGGAGCUUUAGCCGGGAAGCCUUUUCAAAGCCCCUUGCCACGGUAACAAUGAGCUCUCCAAGCACCGCACAAGUUCAGAAGAAAGCCGGAGAGGAUUUCUGACCAAAGCACAGAGCAAGCGGCAUGGAGGAAUUGAAUCGGCACGGCCCAAAGUGAAAGAAGAGGGAUGGUCGUUUGAUGGAGAGUGCUUUUGUUACGGCCUGCAGAGCCUUUGUGCGUAAACGUGGGAGGAUACAGGACAGGAGACCUGGAACGUCCGUGCCGUGAGAGACCGGCCGGUCCUCCUGCAGUCCUCUCACACCUGCAGGGUCAGAACAGGUGAACAGACUGAGACGGCUGUUGGUGUGCAGUCCCUGACAGGAGCAGCGGAAGAGCCUUAAGGAAGCGGGGCUCUCCCAGAAGAGAGAGGCACGCAAACACUGCUGCUGUAAAGCUUCAGGUGAUGGGCUGCGACAAUUGCGUGUGCAGCCCUGAGCUCCUCUGCACUCAGCGGUGAGAAACGGGACCCGCCAGAGAUCUGUCAGAGCGCUCCGUCUCUGCUGAGCGCGGUACCGACAGCCGCGCACCGCUCCGCGCCACUCACCGCGCCGCGUCCACCCGCAGCUCCUGGAGGGCCGUCCGCAGGCUGCGCUCCUCCUCGUCCUCGUCGUCGUCGUCCUCGUCCUCGUCGUCGUCCUGCUGCUGCUGCUGCUGCUCCUCCUCGUCCUCGUGCCGCCUGUUUGCAAGCCAAGGACACGUGAAAGGAACGUCAGCGGGACUGAGGCGGAGCUGCACCCAGCCUGUGGUGGGCGACCCAAUAAAAGCCAACUGUUUCGUAA